CUCUAUGGAUGGGGCAUCUACCACCUCUCAGGGCAACCUGUGCCAGUGCCUCAUUGCUCUUAUUGCGAAAAACUUCUUCCUUAUAUCCAAUCUGAAUUUCCCCUCUUUUAGUUUGAAAACAUUUCCCAUUGUCCUGUCACAAUAGAACCUGCUGAAGACUCUGUGCCCUUCUUUCUUAUAGCUCCUCUUCAGAUACAGAAAGGCUGCUCUACUGCUACCACCUGCCCAAGGGUGCAGGAGGUGUAGCAUGCCUCAGUUCCCUUGUUGCCCCCUUCGUGUCACCUGGCAGAGCAAGGAGAAGGCAGAAGAGCAUGCCUCAUGCCCAGAGGCAGCUCCUUGAGAGCACUGUGCAGAACUCAUUCUUCAUUUCAGGUUCAAAGGAGCAGUAAAUAGGCUCCUUUCUUACUGCACCUCAGGAACGGCUGCAAAGUGGUGAUGGGGGAGAUGAUGCUAUGCCACUGUUCAGCACACAUGCAGGAAGCCUGUUCCUUGAGGAGUAAGGAAGGGAGAGACACAAACUAUUCUUCAUUUCCAGGAAGCUAGAAAUUUGCUUCUUUCGUGUUAGUAGCUCUUCCUAGCACAGCAAGCUGGUGGUUCUUCAUCUUAAGGGCAAGCUGGGUGAUAAAGGUGGGCUGAUAGCAGCUUUCUGCAAUGCCUAACAGAUAUUACAUGGAAGAAAACACUGUUCCUGCACACUGGGACACCUGAGAAGCCUGUUCCCUGCUCCACGUGUUAGCAGUGCAGCUGUUAAAGCUCUGGAACAUUUUUGGACAAAGAGCGCUAUGUUCCUCCGUUGUGAAUUGGAAAGCAGCAGCAGCACUUUGUUCUCAGUGUCUCCAUCUCCUCGUUUUGUUGCCAUCAUCUUCACAUCAUCUUCUUCCGAAAUGGUGCGUGUUGGCUUGAGGUUCUUACAAGGAAUGUGCUACAGAUGGAUAAUUGGUGAAGGAAGCAGGACUAUAGAAUGGGGCAGGGUAGGUGAUGAUGGUACAAAUGCUCUGGGUACCACUUGGUCUGGGAGACAUGGGUCUGUGUCCAUGAAGAUGGGCAGACUGGGGAAGGUCAGUGCUGGGAUGUGGCUGGGGUAAGGUGUCCACCACCUCUCACUGACCACUAGGAGCUUCUCUGGGAGUAGGUUCCUCAAGCUAUUAUGGUUCAGUUGACCUGAAAAGAGGUUGAGAAGAACUCUGAAGGCAGUCAGCAGCUCUGGAGCUAUCCAUUCCCCAAGGAGGAAGGUAAGCUCCUAAGCCCUGGAUAAAAU
rnacentral:lncRNA from 1 species